rnacentral:rRNA from 1 species
GUGGGGAAUAUUGGGCAAUGGGCGAAAGCCUGACCCAGCAACGCCGCGUGAAGGAAGAAGGUUUUCGGAUCGUAAACUUCUAUCCUUGGUGAAGAUAAUGACGGUAGCCAAGAAGGAAGCCCCGGCUAACUACGUGCCAGCAGCCGCGGUAAUACGUAGGGGGCAAGCGUUGUCCGGAAUGAUUGGGCGUAACGGGCGCGUAGGCGGCCUGGUAAGUCUGGAGUGAAAGUCCUGCUUUUAAGGUGGGAAUUGCUUUGGAUACUGUCGGGCUUGAGUGCAGGAGAGGUAAGGGGAAUUCCCGGUGUAGCGGUGAAAUGCGUAGAGAUCGGGAGGAACACCAGUGGCGAAGGCGACUUACUGGACUGUAACUGACGCUGAGGCGCGAAAGUGUGGGGAGCAAACAGGAUUAGAAACCCCUGUAGUCC